GGGGGUAUAGCUCAAGCGGUAGAGCACAAGGUUGGCAUGAUAAAGGUCCUAGGUUCAAUCCCCAGUACCUCCU
rnacentral:tRNA from 1 species